rnacentral:rRNA from 1 species
UGUAGUCAUAUGCUUGUCUCAAAGAUUAAGCCAUGCAUGUCUAAGUAUAAGCAAUCUAUACUGUGAAACUGCGAAUGGCUCAUUAAAUCAGUUAUCGUUUAUUUGAUAGUACCUUACUACUUGGAUAACCGUGGUAAUUCUAGAGCUAAUACAUGCUAAAAACCUCGACUUCGGAAGGGGUGUAUUUAUUAGAUAAAAAACCAAUGCCCUUCGGGGCUCCUUGGUGAUUCAUAAUAACUUAACGAAUCGCAUGGCCUUGUGCCGGCGAUGGUUCAUUCAAAUUUCUGCCCUAUCAACUUUCGAUGGUAGGAUAGUGGCCUACCAUGGUUUCAACGGGUAACGGGGAAUG